GGAUGCGAUCAUACCAGCUCUAAAGCACCGAAUCCCAUUAGAACUCCGAAGUUAAGCGUGCUUUGGUGAGAGUAGUACUAGGAUGGGUGACCUCCUGGGAAGUCCUCGUGUUGCAUUCC
rfam:Triticum aestivum genome assembly, contig: Triticum_aestivum_CS42_TGACv1_scaffold_426012_5BS